rnacentral:rRNA from 1 species
GACGAACGCUGGCGGCGUGCCUAAUACAUGCAAGUAGAACGCUGAAGCUUGGUGCUUGCACCGAGCGGAUGAGUUGCGAACGGGUGAGUAACGCGUAGGUAACCUGCCUGGUAGCGGGGGAUAACUAUUGGAAACGAUAGCUAAUACCGCAUAAGAGUAGAUGUUGCAUGACAUUUGCUUAAAAGGUGCAAUUGCAUCACUACCAGAUGGACCUGCGUUGUAUUAGCUAGUUGGUGAGGUAACGGCUCACCAAGGCAACGAUACAUAGCCGACCUGAGAGGGUGAUCAGCCACACUGGGACUGAGACACGGCCCAGACUCCUACGGGAGGCAGCAGUAGGGAAUCUUCGGCAAUGGACGGAAGUCUGACCGAGCAACGCCGCGUGAGUGAAGAAGGUUUUCGGAUCGUAAAGCUCUGUUGUAAGAGAAGAACGAGUGUGAGAGUGGAAAGUUCACACUGUGACGGUAUCUUACCAGAAAGGGACGGCUAACUACGUG